UGGGGGGGGAAUUUGUAAAUUUUCUUUAAAGUUCAGCUACUGGAGAAUUAUUGUGUUCCUUUAGGAUUGUAUACUUCUUUGCUUUUUAGUGUGGUUUGUGCCCCUAUGUUGAUGUCUGUAUAUCCAGUAGAAAAAUUACAUCACCUCUCCAAAUUUUAGAGUGGCUUUCACAGAAAAAGAUUUUCACCUUCAGAUGAAAGAUGCCAGAUGGAAAGGGUAUGUUGACUGUUUCUGAGUGGAUGAGAUAGUAUAGCAUCCAUGCAGCUCCUUCAGUUGCACUCAAAAUCAGAGAUGACUUUGGAUGCCUCAGUGGCAUAGGCUGUAGGAGUCUAUGGAAAUGGAUAUGGAAGUGUAGGUUGUUAAGAACCCUGGUGGCAAGGACUUUUGGGAUUCACCUCUUCUCAUUUUUCCUUACACGAGACAGUUUUGGUUCCUUCUUGGGAUCCAAGGGGGGUCCCUCUUCAAUACCACAAAGGGGAUCCCUCUUCAUGUUGAUUAUGAUACAGCCCACAAUCAGCUGCAGAAGUUAUAAGUUCUAGGCUGAAAGUGCUCAGAGUAGUUGUGUUGCUGAGUUUCUGGUCUCAGGGUCCAAAGAACCUAUUGUGCCACCUGGGUCUCAGGUCACAGGUUCAGUUUCUAAGUCAGUGUGGGAUGCAGAUUGCCUACAAAGCUAGGGUCUGUGACUCUGAGCACCCCCAGCAGCUCAGGCUCUGGGGGACAAGUUUUAGCUCUAAUUCUGUCCCUGAAGGGCAGGGUAUAGCACUGCCCUGGCUCCAGAGAAAAGAGGAUUCUCUGAAGAUUUGAGCACAAGCAGCAGGUACAGCUGGAAUUUGAGAAUGAGAUCCAACAGGUCACCAUGGCUACUCAGUCACCAGAAGAUGCAGCAUCACAUAAUGGUGACUCUGGAUCUAAGAUGGUGGGAUACAGCAGUAUUUUCAGGUUCAGUGGCAGCAAUAAACUCAGAAUGGCAGAGAAAGCUAUCUCUUGAGCCCUCGGGUACAAGGGACAGCUCAGUGAUGAUUCCAUUCCCUGGGUAGGAGGUUGUGUCAGCAGCUCAGACUCUAGGGUGUUAUUCUAAUUCCAGAGCAGUGGUGUAUUACAGCAGUUUGGCUCUAUGGGAGUGUAUCUCAGCUCAGUCAAUGCUCUGUUUCCCUGGGAUGUGGGGUACCAUGUCAGGUAAGUUCUGGGAUGCAUAGAAUGCUUGACUUGGCCAAAGCACCAAUUCCCCAUGAGUCAGGGUUCCAUUUCAGCUCAAGCACAGGAAGGGUGUGAAUGCUCUGGGCAGCUAAGUAUCAUUUCCCUGUGAGGCAGCACACUGCUUCAGCUCAGUCCCUGAGGGUCAUGGCACAGCAGUAGCUGAGAAAAGCAGAUUGAAUGGCUUCAUGGCAACUUGUCCCCAUAUGUUAGCAUGUAGUAUAAUGAUGAUGAGUGAUGAGCCACGAGGUGAGAGUAGUUCAGAGGUGACAAAGCCUAACUGAUGGAAGGGUAUCUUGAUUAUUUGUCCCAGAGCAAUGUUUAUGGCUCCAAGAUGGUGUAGUAUGAUAGUGGCUUCGGCCAUGCUGGGUGGUAGGAGUGGGAUGGACACACUGUUGAUGCCUUCUCUGGGUCGGGGGGUGGGGUGCAGCUGUGUGCAUCCCAGGCAGCUCCCUCAGCUGGGCUUAGUGCUUGUGAGAAUUGCAGUAGUCCCUACUGUGAGGAUUGUAGGUACUCAAGGUGGUGAUGGGGGAUGAUGGGGUCCUCUUGCUUACCUUUUCCCUAUAGGAAGAAUUUUCCCUUGGUUCCAAGCUGAUUCCAUCUGGGUGAUGGAGUGACAGAAUUGCUACAGUGGCAAGAUCAAGACUGGAUCUAGGAGAUCUCGGUUCAAUAUGGAGAUUAUCCUAGGAUUCUAGUGUUGGAGCUAUAUGCUGUAACUGAAGAGGGUUAAAAUUGUCUCCUUUUGGGACAUUGUUAUCAAGCUUUUGAGUGAAUUCUAGUAUCUACUCAGUAGGCUCCUGUCUAUUGAAUCUUUUCAGGAUUCAAAUCCAACUUCAACAUUACCUCCAAUCAAAUGCUCUCCCUGGACUCUACAUUGCUAUUGGGAGUUCCUGAGGAAAACUCUCAGAACACCCACUUUCAUGUCUAGAUACUGAAAUAGUGAGAAAUUACACCAAGAACAAAGAAGCAUAUAGAAGGCUGCCCGGGAAGGGCAGGGCAGAACUUAUAUUCUCUUUGAUCAGCUUCCCAGAGAAAAAGAAGGCCGGAGUGAAGCCAGGAAGAAAAUCCUGGUAAUUAACUUACUUCAAACCGAAGAGCCAAGAAUCUUUGUCUCCAGUUUGUCAGAAGAGACUAUCUGAUUGAUUCAAUCAAUUGAUGGAUUGGUCAUCUUUGGAAGAGUGUUCUUCCUCAUCCAUUCAGAUGUCCUUAUGUGAGAGGGGGGACAUAUAUUAUAUAUUCAAAUGGGAAAACCAUAGUGGUUUUCAGUUCUAAACUGGAAAAGCAAAAUAAUCAUGCCUGCAUUAUAUGAAUUUAGCUAUUGUUUUAUAAUAAAUGAUAGGAGCAUUUUUAUCUUAUCUUGUUUGUGUCAUGAUCAGCUGCCGGGAAUAGGAGGCUUCCCUGUAUAUUAGUUCAUUGGUAUUAUAAGAAAUGCCUCAGACCUUCAUCAAGAUAUAGCAAAGUGUUUAGAUAAAAUAGAACCUCAGCAAUAAUAGAAUUGUAAUUACAGCAAUAAUAGAAUCUUCUCAGUUAUCUGAUCCAUGAGUUUGCCACAGGAAUUUCCUUGAAGUUAUGCAAAAGAUGAGAGAAAAGAUUUGCAUUCACAUCUAUCAUUCUACAAUAACACGAGUCAUGGGAACUUGUUGUAUCUUAAGGAAGGUUUGAAUAGAUGCACUCUGGUUGGACCCACCUAUCUCAUGGAAGCAAUUUAUUCAAUUUAGUAAACAUAUAUCUAUUACAACCUAAAAAUGUUACGUUUUGUGGUAGGAUUAAUUAAAAAAUCAAUAUCCUCAUAUAACUUAAAUUUUUUAUGAUUAUAAAAUACACAUUAAUUUGUGAACAAUGGCGUUAAUAUGCGAAAAACUGUUAAUAUUGGUGAUAUAAAAUGUAAAAGAGUAGUUCUUAGCAUGAAUUAUUAAGUAACUUUUCUAGGCAUGAUAAAUAAUGGACUUUACAAAUGCGUAAGUUUUGGAUAAAUAGAGAGGAAGAGGGAAACACAAAAAGAAUGGAGGAAUGCCAUAAGUAAAGUGCAAUGAACUGAAGAUAGGGCACUAUGAGACUAUAGGAUAAAAUGGUAUUAUUUUACAAUAAUUUUUGGAAAAAAGUAAAUUAAACAUAUCCUCUCCACCAUAACUUUAUGGAAAAUGCUGUUGUGCUUUGUGGACUCAGGAUUGAAAAAUUAUGCAGAAAAAUUCUGAUGAAUCUGAAAGAGAUUUUUAUUUCUUUGCUAGUCUAACUGAAAACUUAAUGACUCAAUCAAGAUAUGUCAUUUUGUGAUUCAAUAUUAUUUAUUUUCUCAAAUACAAUCCAAAUACUAAAACAAGCACAAAGACAUACUAUGGAUUAUGUUCACUGCUUCUUGGGAAAAGUACAGUGAAUGGUUUUACUCAAUUAUAUGUUCAUUGUUUUUCAAAUGUUAUAAUAAAAAUCUAAU